rnacentral:rRNA from 1 species
UACGUAGGUCCCGAGCGUUGUCCGGAUUUAUUGGGCGUAAAGCGAGCGCAGGUGGUUUAUUAAGUCUGGUGUAAAAGGCAGUGGCUCAACCAUUGUAUGCAUUGGAAACUGGUAGACUUGAGUGCAGGAGAGGAGAGUGGAAUUCCAUGUGUAGCGGUGAAAUGCGUAGAUAUAUGGAGGAACACCGGUGGCGAAAGCGGCUCUCUGGCCUGUAACAGACACUGAGACUCGAAAGCGUGGGGAGCAAACAGG